GACGAACGCUGGCGGCGUGCCUAAUACAUGCAAGUAGAACGCUGAAGAGAGGAGCUUGCUCUUCUUGGAUGAGUUGCGAACGGGUGAGUAACGCGUAGGUAACCUGCCUUGUAGCGGGGGAUAACUAUUGGAAACGAUAGCUAAUACCGCAUAACAAUGGAUGACACAUGUCAUUUAUUUGAAAGGGGCAAUUGCUCCACUACAAAAUGGACCUGCGUUGUAUUAGCUAGUAGGUGAGGUAAUGGCUCACCUAGGCGACGAUACAUAGCCGACCUGAGAGGGUGAUCGGCCACACUGGGACUGAGACACGGCCCAGACUCCUACGGGAGGCAGCAGUAGGGAAUCUUCGGCAAUGGGGGCAACCCUGACCGAGCAACGCCGCGUGAGUGAAGAAGGUUUUCGGAUCGUAAAGCUCUGUUGUAAGUCAAGAACGGGUGUGAGAGUGGAAAGUUCACACUGUGACGGUAGCUUACCAGAAAGGGACGGCUAACUACGUGCCAGCAGCCGCGGUAAUACGUAGGUCCCGAGCGUUGUCCGGAUUUAUUGGGCGUAAAGCGAGCGCAGGCGGUUUGAUAAGUCUGAAGUUAAAGGCUGUGGCUCAACCAUAGUUCGCUUUGGAAACUGUCAAACUUGAGUGCAGAAGGGGAGAGUGGAAUUCCAUGUGUAGCGGUGAAAUGCGUAGAUAUAUGGAGGAACACCGGUGGCGAAAGCGGCUCUCUGGUCUGUAACUGACGCUGAGGCUCGAAAGCGUGGGGAGCGAACAGGAUUAGAUACCCUGGUAGUCCACGCCGUAAACGAUGAGUGCUAGGUGUUGGAUCCUUUCCGGGAUUCAGUGCCGCAGCUAACGCAUUAAGCACUCCGCCUGGGGAGUACGACCGCAAGGUUGAAACUCAAAGGAAUUGACGGGGGCCCGCACAAGCGGUGGAGCAUGUGGUUUAAUUCGAAGCAACGCGAAGAACCUUACCAGGUCUUGACAUCCCGAUGCUAUUUCUAGAGAUAGAAAGUUACUUCGGUACAUCGGUGACAGGUGGUGCAUGGUUGUCGUCAGCUCGUGUCGUGAGAUGUUGGGUUAAGUCCCGCAACGAGCGCAACCCCUAUUGUUAGUUGCCAUCAUUCAGUUGGGCACUCUAGCGAGACUGCCGGUAAUAAACCGGAGGAAGGUGGGGAUGACGUCAAAUCAUCAUGCCCCUUAUGACCUGGGCUACACACGUGCUACAAUGGUUGGUACAACGAGUUGCGAGUCGGUGACGGCGAGCUAAUCUCUUAAAGCCAAUCUCAGUUCGGAUUGUAGGCUGCAACUCGCCUACAUGAAGUCGGAAUCGCUAGUAAUCGCGGAUCAGCACGCCGCGGUGAAUACGUUCCCGGGCCU
rnacentral:rRNA from 1 species